CCCUAUGGGGUCAGCUGCAAAAACAACCUGAAGCAGGUGGGGCUGGGAAUCUGCUCGUACCUUCCGGACUUCGGGGACAGCCUGUUCCCAUACGAGGACCCCCCCGCCGGAACGGGCCUGAUAUGGACGGCCCGGCUUUUCAAGCACGGCUAUCUUCCGAUUGGCAGUCCUGAAACAAACAUCCUGCGCUGCGCCAGCGGUUUCCGGGAGUUCGGCGAUCUCUACAAGGCGCCCUUUCUGACGCCAAUCAACCCCGACGACAGAUUCAGCUUCUCGAACAAGCAGACCUACGGAAUUGGCGGGAGAGC
rnacentral:rRNA from 1 species